rnacentral:rRNA from 1 species
AUUGAACGCUGGCGGCAUGCUUUACACAUGCAAGUCGAACGGUAACAGGGUGCUUGCACCGCUGACGAGUGGCGAACGGGUGCGUAAUGCGUCGGAACGUGCCGAGUAGUGGGGGAUAACGCCGCGAAAGUUGUGCUAAUACCGCAUACGUACUGAGGUAGAAAGUGGGGGACCUUCGGGCCUCACGCUAUUCGAGCGGCCGACGUCUGAUUAGCUAGUAGGUGAGGUAAAGGCUCACCUAGGCGACGAUCAGAAGCGGGUCUGAGAGGAUGAGCCGCCACACUGGGACUGAGACACGGCCCAGACUCCUACGGGAGGCAGCAGUGGGGAAUUUUGGACAAUGGGCGAAAGCCUGAUCCAGCCAUGCCGCGUGUCUGAAGAAGGCCUUCGGGUUGUAAAGGACUUUUGUCAGGGAGGAAAUCCCUAGUGCUAAUAACACUGGGGGAUGACAGUACCUGAAGAAUAAGCACCGGCUAACUACGUGCCAGCCGCCGCCGUAA